GCAGUCGAACGGUGAAAGAGGGAGCUUGCUUCUUCUGGAUCAGUGGCGAACGGGUGAGUAACACGUGAGCAAUCUGCCCUUGACUCUGGGAUAAGCGUUGGAAACGACGUCUAAUACCGGAUACGACCAUCCCCGGCAUCGGGAGGUGGUGGAAAGAAUUUUGGUCAAGGAUGAGCUCGCGGCCUAUCAGCUUGUUGGUGAGGUAAUGGCUCACCAAGGCGACGACGGGUAGCCGGCCUGAGAGGGUGACCGGCCACACUGGGACUGAGACACGGCCCAGACUCCUACGGGAGGCAGCAGUGGGGAAUAUUGCACAAUGGGCGCAAGCCUGAUGCAGCAACGCCGCGUGAGGGACGACGGCCUUCGGGUUGUAAACCUCUUUUAGCAGGGAAGAAGCGAAAGUGACGGUACCUGCAGAAAAAGCACCGGCUAACUACGUGCCAGCAGCCGCGGUAAUACGUAGGGUGCAAGCGUUGUCCGGAAUUAUUGGGCGUAAAGAGCUCGUAGGCGGUUUGUCGCGUCUGCUGUGAAAUCCCGAGGCUCAACCUCGGGCCUGCAGUGGGUACGGGCAGACUAGAGUGCGGUAGGGGAGAUUGGAAUUCCUGGUGUAGCGGUGGAAUGCGCAGAUAUCAGGAGGAACACCGAUGGCGAANGCAGAUCUCUGGGCCGUAACUGACGCUGANGAGCGAAAGCGUGGGGAGCGAACAGGAUUAGAUACCCUGGUAGUCCACGCCGUAAACGUUGGGAACUAGAUGUGGGGACCAUUCCACGGUCUCCGUGUCGCANCUAACGCAUUAAGUUCCCCGCCUGGGGAGUACGGCCGCAAGGCUAAAACUCAAAGGAANUGACGGGGGCCCGCACAAGCGGCGGANCAUGCGGAUUAAUUCGAUGCAACGCGAAGAACCUUACCAAGGCUUGACAUAUAC
rnacentral:rRNA from 1 species